rnacentral:lncRNA from 1 species
GUCUGGGGAGGGUAAGUGUACGCAGUCCAUACCACUACCUCAGAUGAAGUAGAGAGGCUGUUUUCGAUAGACCCCUGACUUAAGACAUAUAACAGUAUAACCAACAAACAAACAUAAAACAUAAAAGCACACAAUAAAAAUGGGAUAACAUACCGCUAGAUUAUGAUGAAAACAAGACACCCACAAGGUAAUAUUAUAAACCAUCUAUUCAAAAUCGAAAAUAAUUUAGCACCACUAACAAGCAACUACAGGCGUAGAUACAAACAAAAGCACUCCUACCCACUAACCCUCUACCCUAAUCCGCGUCCUCCACACCUUCUUAUCAAGGGUCAUGUCCUCCGUAAGCUAUAACUGCUCCAUAUCAUGUUUAAUCACCUCCCACCAAUAUUUUCUUUGGCCUACCUAUCCCCCGCCUAAAACCAUCCAUAGAAAACCUCUCAGACCUAUGAACUGGAGCAUCCGUGCCCCUCCUCAUCACAUGCCCGAACCAUCGUAACCUCACUUUCCACAUUUUGUCCUCUACGAAGCCACUCCCACCUUCCGAAUAAUCUCAUUUCUAACCCUAUCACUCCUGGUAAGUCCACACAUCCAUCGCAACAUACUCAUCUCUGCCACCUUCAACUUCUGGAUAUGAGAGCUUUUAACUGGCCAACAUUCUCCCCCAUACAACAUAGCCGGUCUGACUACUACUCUAUAGAACUUACCUUUAAGCUUAGGAGGCACCUCCUUAUCACACAAAACCCCCGAAGCGAGCCUCUAUUUCAACCCCCCUGCACCAAUACGGUGCGUGACAUCCUCAUCAAUCUCGCUAUUUUCCUGAAUCAUAGAACCAAGAUACUUAAAACUCUCAUUCUUCUGAAUGGCCUAAGAAUCCAGCUUCAUUACCAUAUCAGCCUCAUGCAACAAAUCACUAAACUUACAUUCCAAGUACUCCAUCUUGGUCUUGCUUAACCUAAACCCUUUGGACUCUAGGGUCGGUCUCCAAACCUCCAACUUAUCAUUGACACCUCGCCAAGUCUCAUCAAUCAAUACAACAUCAUCAGUAAAUAACGUACACCAAGGCACAUCUCCUUGAAAAUGCCGCGUCAAAAAAUCCAUCACCAAGGAAAAUAAAAAGAGGCUAAGAGUCGAUCCUUGGUGCAAUCCAAUCAAAAUAGGAAAGUGCUCCGAAUCUCCUCCCGUCCUCAUAUGAGUCUUCGCAUCGUCGUACAUGCCUUGAAUUGACUUAGUGUACGUCAUGAGCAUGCCUCUAACCUCCAAGCACCUCCACAAAAUCUCCCUAGGGACUUCGUCAUAAGCCUUCCCAAAAUUAAUUAACACUAGGUACAAGUCCUUCUUCCUAUACCUAAACUGCUGCACUAAUCACCUCACGAGGUGAAUGGCCUUAGUAGUCGAGUGACCUAUAUGAAAUCAAAUUGAUUCUCAAAAAUAUCCACGAUCCUCCUCAGCCGUAACUCUACCUCCUUUUCCCAAACCUUCGUAGUAUAACUCAAUAGCUUGAUACCCCCUAUAGUUGUUGCAACUCUGAAUGCCCUCCUUAUUCUUAUACAAUGGAAUCAUCGUACUCCAUAUCCAAGAUUUGGGCAUCUUCGCCGCCCUAAAAAUAAUGUUAAACAACCUUGUCAAUCACUCAAAACCUGCCCCGCUAGUGCUCUUCCAAAAAUCUACCAAAAUCUUGUUUGGCCCAGUUGCUCUACCCCUAUGCAUCCUACGAAUAGCCCCCUUAACCUCCUCCACCAUAAUUUGCCUUUAAUAACCAUAAUCGCGACACCUCUCCGAGUUCUCCAAAUCCCCCAGCACGAAAUCUUUGUCCCCCUCGUCAUUCAAACGUCUAUGAAAAUACGCUUGCCACCUCUUCUUAAUGAGGACAUCCUCAACCAGCACUCUGUCACUCUCCCUCUUGAUGCACUUCACUUGGUCAAGGUCACGAGCCCUCCACUUCCUGGCCUUGAAAAGCCUAUACAACUUUUUAAUUUCGUCUUUCUCCACUAAAGCCGUAUACAAGCUCUCAAAAGUUGUUGUCUUAGCCGCUGUAACUGCUAACUUAGCCUCUCGCCUAGCUAACGUAUACUCCUCCCUAUUCGUCUACUUCUCAUCGACAUCCUUACUUACAACCAACUUAGCAUAGGCCACCUCCUUAGUCUCCACCUUUCUUUUAACUUCUUCAUUCCAUCACCAGUCCCACCGGUGCUUACCAGAUCGGCCUCUUAAAACACCCAACACCUCUCUAGCGGUCUCCUUGAUGCAACUGGCAGUCGUCUCCCACAUACUAUCUACAUACCCUCUACUAUCCCAAGCCCCUUAGUCGUCAACUUCUCCACUAUUUUCAUGUCAUUGGCCAAAGUCAAACUACCCUACUUAAUCCUAGGUCAAUCCUCCAUACCCCUCUUCUUUCUGUCCCUUUUGACCACUAAGUCCAUCACCAAUAGCUUAUGUUGGGUCGAAAUAUUCUUGCUAGGUAUAACUUUACAGUCUUUACAUAGCGCUCUAUCCCUUUUCCUAAGGAGAAAAAAUCUAUCUGGGUCUUGGCUACUGAACUACUAAAGGUAAUAUGGUGUUCCUCCUUUUAUGGGAAGCUCGAAUUUGCUACCCAAAAGCCCUAGCAAAAUCCAAAAGUAAAGCACCUCCUUCAUGACACUUCCUGAAAUCAAAACCACCAUGCACAUCAUUAUAACCUCAUGAUGAGGACCCAAUACUCCCAUUAAAAUCUCCUCCAACGAAAAGCUUCUUAGAACGCCUUUCACCACUCAUCCAAAACCUCCCAAAAAUGCUUUUCCUCCCCAUCCAACCCUGCAUGUGGAGCGUAAACACUAAUAACAUUCAACAUAGAUCCUCUAAUAACCAACUUAAUUUCGACAUCAACCUAUCGUUAACCCGCUUAACCUCCACCACCUGCCCACUAAGAUCUUCAUCUACUAAGAUACCUACCCCAUUCCUAUGUCUCACACUACCCGAGUACCACAACUUAUAACCGUCUACAUCCUUCGCCUUAGAGCCUAACCAUUUGGUUUUCUAGACACAAGCUAUACUAAUCAUCCUCUUUUUGAAUCUUUACGAGCUUUAUAGACUUACCCUGAAGAGUACCUAUGUUCCAAGAUCCAAUCCUCAACUUAGAAGCUCCCUUGUCCCACCUAACCCUACUAUCCCUCGCCCCGACCCUAACCCAUCAACAAAACUAGACGCCACCCUCACCCUAUCCCCUAGUCCAGGCCCCAAUCCCGACCCCAACCCUGAUCCCGACCUAUGACAUGACCCUAGUUCACCAUCGAUCCCUACAAACACUAUUCAAUAACAUAAGAGAUGGAAAUAAGGCGGGCACAAAUGUAAUAAUGAGUGAACCCUGCAAAGAAGAAUCAAGAAUCAAUCCACCAUAAAAAAUUACAACACGUACCCCGGUAAAUAAUAUGCUAGUCUCAACUAACUCCUACUAAGUAACCGAAAAACAGGAGUCACUAAUCCCACAAGAACCGUCAAGAUAAUGAGACAAGAAACCAAAAGAGAAAGGACUGAAAAAAUAUAUAUCUCGAACGACACAGGAUGUAUUCGUCUUCUAUAGUCAAGAAACCUAGACCAAAUAAACUAGAAGAGAUGAAACAAAUGCACCUGAUCCAAGGAGAAGAUGAAGAUAUAAAAUAAAUUUAUUUCUAAAUUAAAAAAAAACUAUGACCUCCAUUGAAACUGAACAAAUAUAAAACAAAUGCUCUCUCUAUGUUUGAAUUUUUUUGGCCUAUUUUGAUUUGACAUGAUGUUUAGAAAAGUAAAUAAGAUUUAUGAAUCCUGUAGUCUUAACUUAAAGAUAUGACAAAUGUACCAAAAUGUUCAUUAAUCUUGUGGUAAUGAAUAGAUCAUGUGGAAAGUUGAAACUAAAAAAAUUGCUAGAACUGAAAAGAAAUAUUCUUUUCGAAAUGAAAUGAAUUAAAAAGGAAAGUGAGUCAAACAUGUCAUUAUCUAGAGUUUGUUAGUAGUUUAUCCAAACGGCUACUAAGUAUCUAGAGUUUGUUUCCUCCUUAGCAACUUUCAUAAUAUUUAAAUAAAAUUAAUUUCUUCUUUGAAAGAAAUAGUAUAGUAACUUUAAUUCAAUAAAGUGAAUGUUAAAUGAUCAUCCUACAUAAUACAUAGAAAUAUAUUGAUUUUAGACUUACUUUAAACUUGUGGAGAGGCUACCAAACAAUUUUACCUAAAAUGGUUAGAAAAUGCCUUAUCCUCUUGACUCUUGGUCUUUGGCUUACUGUUAAGUCAACACCAGAGCAUGAAAAAAAUUAUGGUAGGAUUGGAAAAAUUGAGAAGAGAGUUCUUGGCAUAGGACAAACGCCAAGUGAGAAAGUAAGUUUUUGCCAAACCUUUAAAAAUAACAGGCUUGCAAUGAAAGCUAUAAAAACCAAAUGUUACAGAAAUUUAUGGUCUCUUCACAGAAACCAAAAUCAAACAGAUCUUACAACAUUUUUCAAUUGACAAAGACAUUUAUACUUUCGGCACGUUCCAGAUGCCGUUGCAACAUUUAUCCUUGUACAAUAUCUAUCAUCUACAUUCUUAUAUUUGUUUUGCCAGCCUCCAUAUGGAGUCAAAGUAAAUUUGCAAAAGGGAGUAACAAUUUUCUUUCUUUGAAACCGGUCACUUAAAAAGGAGUAAUAAUUUAAUAGAAGCCAUUCAAUCUCUCUACACUACCACAUUCAUAAAGGCAUUCAACAACCUCAAAUUUACACUUUUAUUCAGGAAAUCAUGUAAUAAAUGUGAAUUAGAAAGGCAUAUGCCCGACGCUUGGAGAUGGAAUACGAUGAUUCCAUUAUAUAAGAAUAAGGGUGACAUUCAAAGUUGCAACAACUAUAGGGCAUCAAGUUGUUAACUUACACUAUGAAGGCUUGGAAAGGGUGGUAGAGUUGAGGCUGAGGAGGGUCGUGACUAUUUUCAAGAAUCAGUUCGGAUACAUCCUAGGUUGCUUGACCACCGAGGCAAUACAUCUCGUGAGGAGAUUAGUGGAUCAGUUUAGGGAGAGGAAGAAAGAUUUACACAUGUUGUUCAUCAAUCUUGAGAAGGCAUAUGACAAAGUCCCUAGGGAGGUUCUGUGGAGAUGCUUGGAGGCUAGAGGUGUUCCCAUGGCAUACACUAGAUCGAUUAAGGAUAUGUACAACGGAGCGAAGAAUCGUGUGAGAACGGUGGGAGGAUAUUUAGAGCACUUUUAUGAUUUGAUAGAGUUGUACCAGGGAUCGGUAUAAGAAUAAGGGUGACAUUCAAAGUUGCAACAACUAUAGGGCAUCAAGUUGUUAACUUACACUAUGAAGGCUUGGAAAGGGUGGUAGAGUUGAGGCUGAGGAGGGUCAUGACUAUUUUCAAGAAUCAGUUUGGAUACAUCCUAGGUUGCUCGACCACCGAGGCAAUACAUCUUGUGAGGAGAUUAGUGGAUCAGUUUAGGGAGAGGAAGAAAGAUUUACACAUGUUGUUCAUCAAUCUUGAGAAGGCAUAUGACAAAGUCCCUAGGGAGGUUCUGUGGAGAUGCUUGGAGGCUAGAGGUGUUCCCAUGGCAUACACUAGAUCGAUUAAGGAUAUGUACAACGGAGCGAAGAAUCGUGUGAGAACGGUGGGAGGAUAUUUAGAGCACUUUUAUGAUUUGAUAGAGUUGUACCAGGGAUCGGCUCUUAGUCCAUUUUUAUUCGCCUUGAUCAUGGAUGUUCUGACACGGCAUAUUCAAAGGGAAGUGCCUUUGGUGUGUGUUAUUUGUUGAUGAUGUAGUUCUAAUUGAUGAGACUUAGAGAGGAGUUAAUGAUAAGUUGGAGGUUUGGAGAUAGACCCUAUAGUAUAAAGGGUUUAGGUUGAGCAGGACCAAGACAGAAUACUUGGAGUUCAAGUUUAGUUAUACGACGCAUGAGGUUGACUUAGUAGUGAAGCUAGAGUCACAAGCCAUUCGAAAAAGAGAUAGUUCCAAGUAUCUUGGUUCUAUGAUUCAAGGAAAUAGAGAGAUUGACAAGUAUGUUUCACACCGUAUUGGUGCAUGGUGGCUGAAAUGGAGGCUCGUUUCGAGAGUCUUGUGUGAUAAGAAGGUGCCUCCUAAGCUUAAAGGAAAGUUCUAAAGAGUGGUUGUUCGUCCACCUAUGUUGUAUGGAGCGGACUGUUGGCCAGUCAAGAAUUCUCACAUCCAAAAGUUGAAGGUGACAAAAAUGAGAAUGUUAAGAUGUAUGUGUGGGAUUACUAGAAAGAUAGCGUUAGAUAUGAGAUUAUCCAAGAGAAUGUGAGAGUAGCUUCGGUGGAAGACAAGAUGCGAAAAGUGACAUUGAGAUGGUUCAUUAAUGUGAUGAGGAGGCCACGAAUGCCCCAGUACCGAAGUGUGAGAGGUUGGCUAUGGAUGGAUUUAGGUGGGGUCACGGAAGGCCAAAGAAAUAUUGAAGGGAGGCGAUUAAACAUGACAUCAAAUAGCUACAAUUUACUGCGAACAUAACCCUAGAUAGGAAGGUGUGGAGGACGCGAAUUAGGGUAGAAGGUUACUGAGAAAGAGUACGUUCUUAUUAUUAACAAGGAGUGCCUUUUCUGUAGUUGUGUCUCUAGUCGUAGUGUUAUACAUGUGACUUGUAGUUUCUUGUUCAUGGUGUGUUGCUGAUGUUUGUAAUUUUAGGAUAGAUUGUGUAUACUAUUACUUUGUGUGUAUCUUGUUUCUUUUAUUAUCUAUUGGUGUGUUAUCCCAUUUUGUUUGUUGUUUUUAUAUAUUUUUAUACAACUAGUUGUCUUGAGCCGAGAGUCUAUCAAAAAUAGCCUCUCUACUUCAUCUGAGGUAGAGGUAUGGACUGCGUACCUCGUGGGAAUACACUUAGUAUGUUGUUGUUGUAGAAAGGCAAAAAGAAUUGCUCAGUUUAAUGCAUAUGCACACAAGCCAACUGUUUUUACUUGCCCUAUCCACUUGGGAAAACAAGCAUUAUAUUCAAAGGAAAAUAUUGUCUCCUGAUUUUUAUUAUAUAUGAAAUCUACAAUUUGAGCCAAGGGCCUAUCAGAGAUGACCUCUACCUUCACAAAUUAGGGGUAAGGUAAGGUUGCAUACCCAUCACCUUCCCCAAGACCCCGCUUAUGGUAUUACAGUAGAUAUGUUGUUGUUGUGAAAUCUACAAUUCAUCAUAGGGUCCUCGAAACCUAAAAUCCUACUAACAUAACAUGUUGCACUUGUCUAGAUGUAGAUUUUCCUUUCCUCAUGCAAAUCAUCUACGCUAGAAAAGAAAGAGAUAAAGUUAAUCCACAUAGAGGAGUUUGCGAAGGAAGGAAAAGAGUCAUUCUAAUACCUUUCUC